UACGAAGGGGGCCAGCGUUGUCCGGAUUCAUUGGGCGUAAAGCGCGUGUAGGCGGCCAGGUAGGUCCGAUGUGAAAUCUGGAGGCUCAACCUCCAGCGGUCAUUGGAAACCAUCUGGCUAGAGUCCGGAAGAGGAGAGUGGAAUUCCUGGUGUAGCGGUGAAAUGCGCAGAUAUCAGGAAGAACACCAAUGGCGAAGGCAGCUCUCUGGGACGGUACUGACGCUGAGACGCGAAAGCGUGGGGAGCGAACAGG
rnacentral:rRNA from 1 species